ACGCUGGCGGCACGCCUUAUACAUGCAAGUCGAACGAAGUAGCAAUACUUAGUGGCAGACGGGUGAGUAACAUGUAGGUAUCUGCCCUUUGGCCUGGAAUAACACGAGGAAACUUGUGCUAAUACCGGAUAAGUCUUUACGGAGAAAGCUUUAUGCACCAUUGGAUGAGCCCGCACUUGAUUAGUUUGUUGGUAGGGUAAUGGCCUACCAAGACUAUGAUCAAUAGCUGAUUUGAGAGGAUGAUCAGCCACAUUGGGACUGAGACACGGCCCAAACUCCUACGGGAGGCAGCAGUGGGGAAUCUUGCACAAUGGAGGAAACUCUGAUGCAGCGAUGCCGCGUGAGUGAAGAAGGCCCUUGGGUUGUAAAGCUCUUUCGUCGGGGAAGAAAAUGACUGUACCCGAAUAAGAAGGUCCGGCUAACUUCGUGCCAGCAGCCGCGGUAAUACGAAGGGACCUAGCGUAGUUCGGAAUUACUGGGCUUAAAGAGUUCGUAGGUGGUUGAAAAAGUUGGUGGUGAAAUCCCAGAGCUUAACUCUGGAACUGCCAUCAAAACUUUUCAGCUAGAGUAUGAUAGAGGAAAGCAGAAUUUCUAGUGUAGAGGUGAAAUUCGUAGAUAUUAGAAAGAAUACCAAUUGCGAAGGCAGCUUUCUGGAUCAUUACUGACACUGAGGAACGAAAGCAUGGGUAGCGAAGAGGAUUAGAUACCCUCGUAGUCCAUGCCGUAAACGAUGUGUGUUAGACGUUGGAAAUUUAUUUUCAGUGUCGCAGGGAAACCGAUAAACACACCGCCUGGGGAGUACGACCGCAAGGUUAAAACUCAAAUGAAUUGACGGGGACCCGCACAAGUAGUGGAGCAUGUGGUUUAAUUCGAAGAUACGCGCAGAACCUUACCAACACUUGACAUGUUCGUCGCGACUCUAAGAGAUUAGAGUUUUCGGUUCGGCCGGACGAAACACAGGUGCUGCAUGGCUGUCGUCAGCUCGUGUCGUGAGAUGUUGGGUUAAGUCCCGCAACGAGCGCAACCCCCACUUUUAGUUGCCAUCAUUAAGUUGGGCACUCUGAAAGAACUGCCAGUGAUAAGCUGGAGGAAGGUGGGGAUGACGUCAAGUCCUCAUGGCCCUUACGUGUUGGGCUACACACGUGCUACAAUGGCAUCUACAACAGGAAGCAAAACGGCAACGUUAAGCAAAUCCCGAAAAGAUGCCUCAGUUCGGAUUGCACUCUGCAACUCGAGUGCAUGAAGCUGGAAUUACUAGUAAUCGUGGAUCAGCGUGCCACGGUGAAUGCGUUCCCGGGUCUUGCACACACCGCCCG
rnacentral:rRNA from 1 species